ensembl:lncRNA
UGACGUCAGACGUCGGCGUACGUUGGGACGUUCAGUUUGAAUCGUUGUAGACGCCUCCAAGAAGCAGCUGCAGUUUUGGGAAAAAAGUGUUCAAAUAAGUCGCUGUUAUAGAGUUAUAUCCAUCAGGUCAACCGUCUGUAGUUAUUAUUGAAGUCACUGGUGGCGUAUGUGUCGUCACAGACACUUGUUUGUUCGACAAAUAUGAAACACAGAGGCAGAUAUCUGGUACUUCCGGGAAACGCUGGAGCCGCUGUGUUGGAGUUGGCAGUAGCAGCAUUGGCAAGAAGGAAACCUUGCAGACGAGCGCUGAGUGGACAUGAGGGCAGCUGAUCAGUGAAGCAGCAGCAGAUGAACAUCCAGGAGAUCAGAGCAUCUGAACAACAUGGAAACACCGUCAGAGCUUGUCUCCAUUCCAGCUAGGAGCUU